GGUCUUAUGGUGUAGGGGUUAGCACUUCGGAUUCUGACGAGCCUUUGGGCUCAGCGAAUUCCGGCGACCCCGGUUCGAUUCCGGGUAAGACCU